GAUCAUGGCUCAGAUUGAACGCUGGCGGCAUGCCUUACACAUGCAAGUCGAACGGCAGCACGGGAGCAAUCCUGGUGGCGAGUGGCGAACGGGUGAGUAAUAUAUCGGAACGUGCCCGGUCGUGGGGGAUAACGUAGCGAAAGCUACGCUAAUACCGCAUACGAUCUAAGGAUGAAAGCGGGGGACCGUAAGGCCUCGCGCGAUUGGAGCGGCUGAUAUCAGAUUAGGUUGUUGGUGAGGUAAAAGCUCACCAAGCCGACGAUCUGUAGCUGGUUUGAGAGAACGACCAGCCACACUGGGACUGAGACACGGCCCAGACUCCUACGGGAGGCAGCAGUGGGGAAUUUUGGACAAUGGGCGAAAGCCUGAUCCAGCAAUGCCGCGUGCAGGAAGAAGGCCUUCGGGUUGUAAACUGCUUUUGUACGGAACGAAAAGGUCUGCCCUAAUACGGCGGGCCCAUGACGGUACCGUAAGAAUAAGCACCGGCUAACUCCGUG
rnacentral:rRNA from 1 species